rnacentral:rRNA from 1 species
GCAGAUGGCAGUAUCUAGUUAAGUUUAUUUGAGUUCCGAAAUUAGGCAGAUGGGCUGGUUGGUAGUUGGCUGGGAGACCAUUAGGGAAUCCCAGGGCUAUGAGUC